CAUGUAGGCGGCUUAAUAAGUCGAGCGUGAAAAUGCGGGGCUCAACCCCGUAUGGCGCUGGAAACUGUUAGGCUUGAGUGAAGUAGAGGUAGGCGGAAUUCCCGGUGUAGCGGUGAAAUGCGUAGAGAUCGGGAGGAACACCAGUGGCGAAGGCGGCCUACUGGGCUUUAACUGACGCUGAAGCACGAAAGCAUGGGGAAGCAAACA
rnacentral:rRNA from 1 species